rnacentral:rRNA from 1 species
UAACACGUAGGUAACCUGCCCAUGUGUCCGGGAUAACUGCUGGAAACGGUAGCUAAAACCGGAUAGGUAUACAGAGCGCAUGCUCAGUAUAUUAAAGCGCCCUUCAAGGCGUGAACAUGGAUGGACCUGCGGCGCAUUAGCUAGUUGGUGAGGUAACGGCCCACCAAGGCGAUGAUGCGUAGCCGGCCUGAGAGGGUAAACGGCCACAUUGGACUGAGACACGGCCCAA